rnacentral:rRNA from 1 species
GAUGAACGCUGGCGGCGUGCCUAAUACAUGCAAGUCGAGCGAACAGACGAGGAGCUUGCUCCUCUGACGUUAGCGGCGGACGGGUGAGUAACACGUGGAUAACCUACCUAUAAGACUGGGAUAACUUCGGGAAACCGGAGCUAAUACCGGAUAAUAUAUUGAACCGCAUGGUUCAAUAGUGAAAGACGGUUUUGCUGUCACUUAUAGAUGGAUCCGCGCCGCAUUAGCUAGUUGGUAAGGUAACGGCUUACCAAGGCAACGAUGCGUAGCCGACCUGAGAGGGUGAUCGGCCACACUGGAACUGAGACACGGUCCAGAGUCCUACGGGAGGCAGCAGUAGGGAAUCUGACGCAAUGGGCGAAAGCCUGACGGAGCAACGCCGCGUGAGUGAUGAAGGUCUUCGGAUCGUAAAACCCUGUUAUGAGGGAAGAACAAAUGUGUAAGUAACUAUGCACGUCUUGACGGUACCUAAUCAGAAAGCCACGGCUAACUACGUG